rnacentral:sRNA from 1 species
UCCUAGCCCUGAUGGGAACGGCAUCCUUUUUAUUUUUUCUUUAAAAAUAAAAAGAUAUAGUGGACAGCAGGAAGCAGC